UUUUAUUUGUGAAAAAGAGUUUAUAUUUUUAUACUGCUGUUUAUGUAUUGUUGUUCACGAUGUUAAAUAAAACUAAUAACCUUGCAAGUUGACAACGAAUCUCAUUCUUCAUUCAUUAUUAUCCAUUAUGAUCAUAAAAGAUCUCAAAUGAAAACAGUAUUAUACCAUAGCCCAUGUAAGGAAUAGUAUUAUUUAUAAGUUAUAUUUUUGAUAAUAGAAUCACUUUCAUCAAAGAAGGUUUUUGAUUCGUUGGUGUUUUUUGACACUGCAGUUUCAUAUAUUUAUAACGCAAAGUAUGCUAAUUAUGACUUGGAUGGAGAGUUGUCACAUUUAUUCUCAUACCAUACUAUCUUAAACCUAUUCACAUAUUGCCAUUUAUAAUAUUGUUUGCUUCAUGAACAUUUACUUUUUUCAUAAUUCAAUUUAACUUUAAGCAUACUUUAUGAAAGUUAUUUAUUGAAAUCCUUCAAAAAACCAAGCAUCAUCGAAAAGGCCGUGUCUUUGCAGCGUAAAAAAGUAACAUUGAAUCACCAACGAUCUCCCCUUGAUAGAAUGUAAUAGAUACUUUGAUUCACUAUGCCAUGAGGGUAAAACCCUCGAUUCACUAUGCCAUGACUGUAAAGCAUUCAUUUCAAAGUUGUUGGUAUUCCCCAAACAUACAUUAAAUUUUACUAUAAACAGUUUAUUGUUUGUGAUGUUUUAACUGUCAAAUUUACUGAUAAUUUAUAGUCUUUAAAAAAGGCAAAACAAUAUAUAAACCCUUUAUUUGUUAAUUAGACUAAUUGGGAUAAGAGAAUCUUGGUUCGUACUAUAUAUGUCCAUCUAUAUUAUUUUAUAAGAUUCUGGUGGCAUUUACAUUAUUUUGUGUUGUUUACGUUUAAAUCCAACCAUAGUCUAAUAGCCUCUUUAAUAUUCAAACACUUCAUUUAAACACGUAAAUUAAUAAAUUCAAAGUACAAAAAAUCAGAUAUUACUAGUUGAAUCUUUCUUGAAAGUUGAAACCUAUUUCCAAAUUACGAUACGAGAUACAUAAUAGAAAUAGAUUGAUAUCAUAAAAUUGUUAUGCAGUGUAGAUCUAGAACAAAGAUUAAGAUGUGAAAGAGACUAUGUUUAUUAUGGGUACACAUUUUUUAACCAAGAACAACUGUUUAAAGGUGAAGGAUAAAUAUAUUACAUUAUGGGAACAAACUCUUUAAUCGUCGAUCUAUGUAUGUCGUGUUUUGUCAGUCUGUGUUUCGACUAAUACAAGCUGGUUUUUGGUCUUGUAUAUUUUGCAUCGUUUACAAUAAACUCAUCAUAGAUACAAGGACUAAAUUUUGUAUUUACGCCAGACGCGCGUUUCGUCUACAAAAGACUCAUCAGUGACCCUCGAAUCCAAAAAAGUAAAAAAAAAAGCCAAAUAAAGUACGAAGUUGAAGAGCAUUGAGAUCCAAAAUUCCUAAAAGUGUUGCCAAAUACAGCGAAGGUAAUCUAUGCCUGAGGUAGAAAAGCAUUAGUAUUUCAAAAAAAUCAAAAUUUUGUAAACAGUAAAUUUAUAUAUAUAACAAUAUCAAUGAUAAUUCAUGUCAGCACAAAAAGUGCUGACUACUGGGCUUGUGCUGUCACAAAUUGCUACUACUCAAAAGCAAUGUAAUCAUGCCUAUUUUAAAUAAAAUUGACGUUUCAAUAAUGAGAGUUUUGGAAUUGCACACACAUUUCUAUUUGUAUCUUUUCCCAAAAUGAUUUCUGCAAUAGGGUUUAAUAUGACGACUAGUUCUAAUCAUUAUUGUUAUUUGUAUAAAGUUUGACUCUUAUCGAUGUAAAUGUUAACU
rnacentral:lncRNA from 1 species